UAAUACGGAGGGUGCAAACGUUGUUCGGAAUUAUUGGGCGUAAAGAGCAUGUAGGCGGUCUGUUAAGUCAGAUGUGAAAGCCCGGGGCUUAACCCCGGAAGUGCAUUUGAAACUAAGGGGCUUGAGUAUGGGAGAGGGAAGUGGAAUUCCUGGUGUAGCGGUGAAAUGCGUAGAUAUCAGGAGGAACACCGGUGGCGAAGGCGACUUCCUGGACCAAUACUGACGCUGAGGCGCGAAGGCGUGGGGAGCAAACAGGAUUAGAUACCCUGGUAGUCCACGCAGUAAACGGUGAACACUAGGUGUAGCGGGUAUUGACCCCUGCUGUGCCGCAGCUAACGCAUUAAGUGUUCCGCCUGGGGAGUACGAUCGCAAGGCUG
rnacentral:rRNA from 1 species